AUUAGCUCACUUGGUUGGAGCAUGGUGCUAAUAACACUAAGGUUGUGGGUUUGAUACCCAUAU
rnacentral:tRNA from 1 species